AUGGUCGGAACGUCAUUUGGCCAAGACACAAUCCGUGUGGGUGCGCGGUGGCCCCGGCGGCCCUCCCCUCCCCGGAACAGCUCCUGUCAGCGUGUUCCUUACAAAAUCCUCACAGCGGCGGGAGGUAAAACCACCCCAGGUGUUCGUGUCCUAGAGGGCCCAGGGGUCUCCUGCAGCCGAGCUGGGGGUACUGAGCGGGCCCAGGGGGGCGGCCGGGCCUGGUGCAGCGGCAGCCCCCACCGCUCCCCUGCGGCUGUGGAAGUGAGGGGGUGCAAUGCCCGGCGUUCCUCAGGUAGGAGGGGACAGGAUUCAAAUUCCACAGGACAGUUUGCAAAGACCAACCGGCCCUUUUCAUUGCGACCCUUGGCGUUUUCAUCAUUUCCCCUUGGCGCUUCCCCCCGGGGAGGCCGCCCGGCUGGGGGACUCCGACCCGAGGGCCCCUGUGCGCCGCAGACCCUGGGCGGGGGCUGCCUUCAGAGCCCCGGGCCGCCCAGAGGACCCUCGCAGGGGGCAGGCGGCACGACCUCAGUGACCCGGGGCCGUGGCCCUGUGCCCGGGGGCCGCGUGGGCCAGCCCGCUCUGCGACCAUGGGGAAGCAGAGGCCCAGUACGAGCUGGUAGGGAGCCUACGGGGAGGGCGUCCCAGAAUGUUCUGGAGCUCCGGCCCGGUCGGCCGCCGUGGUGGCCUCGUCCCCGCCCAGCUGCCUGGCGAUCUUCGGGCUCUGAGCAGGGUGUCGCCCAGGCUGCCCCGGCACCGUGUGCAGGCCGCGAGCGAGCACACCCCCACGGGAAACAGGAGCUGGUCUCUACCGGGACACGGGGAGCACGAAUGUGCCAGAACAGCUGGGAAAACCCGGCCGGGACUGAGGCCCAGGCCUCUGAACCUCUGGUGUCCUGUGCUUGUUCCCCAGACAGGUGGCUUGGGCUUGCUGAGGACGCGCGGCCUGUGGGCAGGGUGCUUAGCACCCCGAGUCUCCCGAGUCCUCAGGGCGACCCUGGGGCGCCGUCGCCUCCUGAUGGUGCAGCGGGGGAGGCAGCUUCGGGAGUUAAGUGGUGGGAGCCGGCUCGGGAUUCGAAUUCUGACGUGCCUCCCCGGGGCCACACUCCGUCCCCACUCACUGCCCUCCUGAAGCCGCUCGCCCCGGUUGGAGACCGACAACCCGCUGCCCUGGACCAGCGCCAGCCAGCGGAGGGAAAGGGGGUCUCUACGCAUCAACCAUCCCCGGAAAGGGGGCUCCUAGGGGCCGACCACCUAACUGCCACGAAGCCUGGGUCCCCAGGCUCUCGGCUCCUCGCCGGCCCCUCAGCACCCGUGUUCCUCUGGAGCUUAGUGGCCGAGCUGUGGGGUGGCCCCCAGAGCCCUGUGCGACGUCACUGCAGGCUGGCUGCUGCCUGCUGCUCGCAAGUCUGCAGCCGCCCCGACCUGGACUGUCCACGCGCCAAAGUCCUUUCUGGGUCAAAGUGA
rnacentral:lncRNA from 1 species